CAGGCCUAACACAUGCAAGUCGAACGGGAUCUUCGGAUCUAGUGGCGGACGGGUGAGUAACGCGUGGGAACGUACCCUUUGGUUCGGAAUAGCCUCGGGAAACUGGGAGUAAUACCGGAUACGGUCGAGAGACGAAAGAUUUAUCGCCGAAGGAUCGGCCCGCGUUGGAUUAGGUAGUUGGUGGGGUAAUGGCCUACCAAGCCGACGAUCCAUAGCUGGUUUGAGAGGAUGAUCAGCCACACUGGGACUGAGACACGGCCCAGACUCCUACGGGAGGCAGCAGUGGGGAAUCUUAGACAAUGGGGGAAACCCUGAUCUAGCCAUGCCGCGUGAGCAUGAAGGCCUUAGGGUUGUAAAGCUCUUUCAGUGGGGAAGAUAAUGACUGUACCCACAGAAGAAGCCCCGGCUAACUCCGUGCCAGCAGCCGCGUAAUACGGAGGGGGCUAGCGUUGUUCGGAAUUACUGGGCGUAAAGCGCACGUAGGCGGACCGGAAAGUCAGAGGUGAAAUCCCAGGGCUCAACCCUUGGAACUGCAUUU
rnacentral:rRNA from 1 species